rnacentral:rRNA from 1 species
UACGGAGGGUGCGAGCGUUGUCCGGAAUCAUUGGGCGUAAAGGGCGCGUAGGUGGCGGGAUAAGCGUGCGGUGAAAGCUCGGGGCUCAACCCCGAGUCGGCCGUGCGAACUAUUCUGCUUGAGCACUGUAGAGGCAGGCGGAAUUCCGGGUGUAGCGGUGGAAUGCGUAGAGAUCCGGAAGAACACCGGUGGCGAAGGCGGCCUGCUGGGCAGUAGCUGACACUGAGGCGCGACGGCGUGGGGAGCAAACAGG